CGUAGGGUGCGAGCGUUAAUCGGAAUUACUGGGCGUAAAGCGUGCGCAGGCGGUUUUGUAAGACAGAUGUGAAAUCCCCGGGCUCAACCUGGGACCUGCAUUUGUGACUGCAAGGCUAGAGUACGGUAGAGGGGAUGGAAUUCCGCGUGUAGCAGUGAAAUGCGUAGAUAUGCGGAGGAACACCGAUGGCGAAGGCAAUCCCCUGGACCUGUACUGACGCUCAUGCACGAAAGCGUGGGGAGCAAACAGGAUUAGAUACCCUGGUAGUCCACGCCCUAAACGAUGUCAACUGGUUGUUGGGUCUUUACUGACUCAGUAACAAAGCUAACGCGUGAAGUUGACCGCCUGGGGAGUACGGCCGCAAGGUUG
rnacentral:rRNA from 1 species